UACGGAGGAUGCAAGCGUUAUCCGGAAUGAUUGGGCGUAAAGCGUCCGCAGGUGGCGAUGUAAGUCUGCUGUUAAAGAGCAAAGCUUAACUUUGUAAAAGCAGUGGAAACUACAUCGCUAGAGUGCGUUCGGGGCAGAGGGAAUUCCUGGUGUAGCGGUGAAAUGCGUAGAGAUCAGGAAGAACACCGGUGGCGAAGGCGCCACUCUGGGCCGAAACUGACGCUGAGGAGCGAAAGCGUGGGUAGCAAACAGG
rnacentral:rRNA from 1 species